GGAUAGCAGAAACUCGUAUCAGUUUUAUGAGGUAAAGCGAAUGAUUAGAGGCAUUGGGGAUGUAACAUCCUUAACCUAUUCUCAAACUUUAAAUGUGUAAGAAGUCCUUGUUACUUGAGUGAACGUGGACAUGCGAAUGAGAGUUUCUAGUGGGCCAUUUUUGGUAAGCAGAACUGGCGAUGCGGGAUGAACCGAUCGUGAGGUUAAAGUGCCGGAAUACACGCUCAUCAGACACCACAAAAGGUGUUAG
rnacentral:ncRNA from 1 species